GGCAUACGGCUCAGUAACGCGUAGUCAACCUACCCUAUGGACGGGGAUAAUCUCGGGAAACUGAGCAUAAUACCCGGCAGACCACUUAUCCUGGAAUGGUCAGUGGUUAAAAUGAUUCGUCGCCAUAGGAUGGGACUGCGGCCUAUCAGCUUGUUGGUGAGGUAAUGGCCCACCAAGGCGAUUACAGGUACGGGCUCUGAGAGGAGAGGCCCGGAGAUGGGUACUGAGACAAGGACCCAGGCCCUAUGGGGCGCAGCAGGCGAGAAAACUUUGCAAUGUGCGAAAGCACGACAAGGCUAAUCCGAGUGAUUUCUGCUAAAGGAAUCUUUUGUUAGUUCUAAAAAUACUAGUGAAUAAGGGGUGGGCAAGUUCUGGUGUCAGCCGCCGCGGUAAAACCAGCACCUCAAGUGGUCAGGAGGAUUAUUGGGCCUAAAGCAUCCGUAGCCUGUUCUAUAAGUUUGCGGUUAAAUCUAUACGCUCAACGUAUAGGCUGCCGUAAAUACUGUAGAACUAGGGAGUGGGAGAGGUAGACGGUACUCGAUAGGAAGGGGUAAAAUCCUUUGAUCUAUUGAUGACCACCUGUGGCGAA
rnacentral:rRNA from 1 species